CCUACGAGUGGCAGCAGUGAGGAAUAUUGGUCAAUGGGCGCGAGCCUGAACCCGCCAAGUAGCGUGAAGGCUGACUGCCCUACGGGUUGUAAACUUCUUUUAUAAAGGAAUAAAGUGAGGCACGUGUGACUUUUUGUAUGUACUUUAUGAAUAAGGAUCGGCUAACUCCGUGCCAGCAGCCGCGGUAAUACGGAGGAUCCGAGCGUUAUCCGGAUUUAUUGGGUUUAAAGGGUGCGUAGAUGGGUUGUUAAGUCAGUUGUGAAAGUUUGCGGAUCAACCGUAAAAUUGCAAUUGAUACUGGCAGUCUUGAGUACAGUUGAGGUAGGCGGAAUUCGUGGUGUAGCGGUGAAAUGCUUAGAUAUCACGAAGAACUCCGAUUGCGAAGGCAGCUUACUAAAAUGCCACUGACAUUGAUGCUCGAAAGUGUGGGUAUCAAACAGGAUUAGAUACCCCUGUAGUC
rnacentral:rRNA from 1 species